GGGCUCACAUGCAAUCGAACGGUAACAGGAAACAGCUUGCUCUUCGCUGACGAGUGGCGGACGGGUGAGUAAUGUCUGGGAAACUGCCUGAUGGAGGGGGAUAACUACUGGAAACGGUAGCUAAUACCGCAUAACGUCGCAAGACCAAAGAGGGGGACCUUCGGGCCUCUUGCCAUCGGAUGUGCCCAGAUGGGAUUAGCUAGUAGGUGGGGUAACGGCUCACCUAGGCGACGAUCCCUAGCUGGUCUGAGAGGAUGACCAGCCACACUGGAACUGAGACACGGUCCAGACUCCUACGGGAGGCAGCAGUGGGGAAUAUUGCACAAUGGGCGCAAGCCUGAUGCAGCCAUGCCGCGUGUAUGAAGAAGGCCUUCGGGUUGUAAAGUACUUUCAGCGGGGAGGAAGGGAGUAAAGUUAAUACCUUUGCUCAUUGACGUUACCCGCAGAAGAAGCACCGGCUAACUCCGUGCCAGCAGCCGCGGUAAUACGGAGGGUGCAAGCGUUAAUCGGAAUUACUGGGCGUAAAGCGCACGCAGGCGGUUUGUUAAGUCAGAUGUGAAAUCCCCGGGCUCAACCUGGGAACUGCAUCUGAUACUGGCAAGCUUGAGUCUCGUAGAGGGGGGUAGAAUUCCAGGUGUAGCGGUGAAAUGCGUAGAGAUCUGGGGAAUACCGGUGGCGAAGGCGGCCCCCUGGACGAAGACUGACGCUCAUGUGCGAAAGCGUGGGGAGCAAACAGGAUUAAAUACCCUGGUAGUCCACGCCAUAUACGAUGUCUACUUGGAGGUUGUGCCCUUGAUGCUUGGCUUCCGAGCUAACGCGUUAAUUCUACCGCCUGGGGACUACGGCCGAGUGUUAAGACUCAAAUGAAUUGAGGUGGCCCGCAGAAGUCGUGGAGCAGGUUAAUUCGAUGCACCGCUUACCUGCCGGCUGAAUUGGGU
rnacentral:rRNA from 1 species